rnacentral:rRNA from 1 species
GACGAACGCUGGCGGCGUGCCUAAUACAUGCAAGUAGAACGCUGAAGGAGGAGCUUUCUCUUCUGGAUGAGUUGCGAACGGGUGAGUAACGCGUAGGUAACCUGCCUGGUAGCGGGGGAUAACUAUUGGAAACGAUAGCUAAUACCGCAUAAGAGUAGAUGUUGCAUGACAUUUGCUUAAAAGGUGCAAUUGCAUCACUACCAGAUGGACCUGCGUUGUAUUAGCUAGUUGGUGGGGUAACGGCUCACCAAGGCGACGAUACAUAGCCGACCUGAGAGGGUGAUCGGCCACACUGGGACUGAGACACGGCCCAGACUCCUACGGGAGGCAGCAGUAGGGAAUCUUCGGCAAUGGACGGAAGUCUGACCGAGCAACGCCGCGUGAGUGAAGAAGGUUUUCGGAUCGUAAAGCUCUGUUGUAAGAGAAGAACGAGUGUGAGAGUGGAAAGUUCACACUGUGACGGUAUCUUACCAGAAAGGGACGGCUAACUACGUG